GCGGGGCGCGGGCCGCGCUCUGCCCGCCGUGAGGGCCCCGCGGGGCCGCGCCGGGGCCGGCCCGACUCGGGAACCUCGCGCUGAUCUCAGGGCUGGCCUUGUUGAGCAAGUCAUGGAGCUGCCCUACUCACUGCUGAGAAACCUGACCUUCAAUGGCUGCCUACAAAGAUUCCCUGAGACCAUGGUGUCAAGAUGGCCUUUGGCUGGACACACGCUGACAUCUUCACUUUCACCUUGAGAAAGGAGUUCUCAAAUUGGAGUGACAGGGCUGGAGGCUGUCAGGGGGGGCCUCACUACUUUCAGGCAACCCUUCCUGUGUAGCCAUGAGGGAGGGAGCAGACCACUACUCCGCAUGCAGGGAUAAUCUGGCCCAGAUGUUGUCCUGCCCCGCAGAGCACAUUUCACUGCACAAGUAGCAGGGGUGACAGAGGGUAGCAGCCGCUCUCAAGGAAUGCUGCAGGAGAGACGUUUUCAGAGACCCCAGGGAGGCAGUACAUUCCUAGAAUGUGUGUGCCAUUUGCUAUAACUCAGUCAUUAAGGACCUGUCUGGCUUUAAUAGAAACCAAAGAGCCAGUAGUUUGCCUUAUACCACUCAGGCUCAUGCACUCCUCAGUUUGGGCUUUUCUCCUCCCCUCAUGUCCAAAGAGGAUAGGCCAGAGGUUCCUAGAGGAACCAGACCACAUCCAGGGGCACCCAGAGAGAAGGAAAUUGGGCUGUUAGGCACAUGGAAAUGAUCAUGUGGGCCCCAUCCUAGGGGUGUCCUUUCACCACCUUCCCAGCAAGACCUCCAGCUGGUUGGUGAAAGGCCACAGCAGGUGACACACAGAGACACAGAAGGGAACCAGACCCAGACAGAUCAGCUGGGAAAGGCCAUAGGGAGCAACACUGCUGCCUACUAGGAUGGGUGUAACCGCAGCCAGCCCUGACUAGCACCAGGACAAGGACAGGGCUGGCCUAAAUAGUAUUCCCACCCUGAUGCACCCUAAGCCUCAGGCAGAUUGCAGUUGUCUGCAGUUUAUAAAGCCCAGACAAAAUUAGAGGCUAGGGAACCCCUUUGAGGUCGCAGAGAAACAAGUGCAAAAGGCAACACAAGGACAGCUCCAUCCAGCAGUCAACUUAAAUGCUUUUAUUGACAAUGUCUCUGAACAAUAAUAAGCAAACAAUGCUUAAGUUUCAUCCAAAUUCACUUUCCACAUGUCAAAAAAGACCUCAAGGUAGAAAAAAAUAAAAUAAAAAUAUAAAUAUCUGAGAAUCCAUCUUAAUAAAUAAAUUAAAAA